rnacentral:rRNA from 1 species
UACAGAGGGGGCAAGCGUUGUUCGGAAUUACUGGGCGUAAAGCGUGCGCAGGCGGUUAUGCAAGACCGAUGUGAAAUCCCCGGGCUUAACCUCGGGGAAUUGCAUUAGUGACUGCAUGGCUAGAGUGUGUCAGAGGGGGGUAGAAUUCCACGUGUAGCAGUGAAAUGCGUAGAGAUGUGGAGGAAUACCGAUGGCGAAGGCAGCCCCCUGGGAUAACACUGACGCUCAUGCACGAAAGCGUGGGGAGCAAACAGG